UACGUAGGGUGCGAACGUUGUCCGGAAUUAUUGGGCGUAAAGAGCUCGUAGGCGGUCUGUCGCGUCUGCUGUGAAAUCCCGAGGCUCAACCUCGGGCUUGCAGUGGGUACGGGCAGGCUAGAGUGCGGUAGGGGAGAAUGGAACUCCUGGUGUAGCGGUGGAAUGCGCAGAUAUCAGGAAGAACACCGAUGGCGAAGGCAGUUCUCUGGGCCGUAACUGACGCUGAGGAGCGAAAGCGUGGGGAGCGAACAGG
rnacentral:rRNA from 1 species